rnacentral:rRNA from 1 species
AGGACGAACGCUGGCGGCGUGCUUAACACAUGCAAGUCGAGCGGAAAGGCCCUUCGGGGUACUCGAGCGGCGAACGGGUGAGUAACACGUGAGCAACCUGCCCCUGGCUCUGGGAUAGCCGGUCCGGAAACGGGGAUUAAUACCGGACAUGACCCUUGACCGCAUGGUUGGGGGUGGAAAGUUUUUCGGCCAGGGUGGGGCUCGCGGCCUAUCAGCUUGUUGGGGGGGUGACGGCCCACCAAGGCGACGACGGGUAGCC